GGGUGUUAGCUGCAUGCCGCAGCGGGACAGGUUCAUGCGUCGGUCGGGCCGCCACG
rnacentral:ncRNA from 1 species